rnacentral:rRNA from 1 species
AUUGAACGCUGGCGGCAGGCCUAACACAUGCAAGUCGAGCGGAUGAAGGGAGCUUGCUCCUGGAUUCAGCGGCGGUCGGGUGAGUAAUGCCUAGGAAUCUGCCUGGUAGUGGGGGAUAACGUCCGGAAACGGGCGCUAAUACCGCAUACGUCCUGAGGGAGAAAGUGGGGGAUCUUCGGACCUCACGCUAUCAGAUGAGCCUAGGUCGGAUUAGCUAGUUGGUGGGGUAAAGGCCUACCAAGGCGACGAUCCGUAACUGGUCUGAGAGGAUGAUCAGUCACACUGGAACUGAGACACGGUCCAGACUCCUACGGGAGGCAGCAGUGGGGAAUAUUGGACAAUGGGCGAAAGCCUGAUCCAGCCAUGCCGCGUGUGUGAAGAAGGUCUUCGGAUUGUAAAGCACUUUAAGUUGGGAGGAAGGGCAGUAAGUUAAUACCUUGCUGUUUUGACGUUACCAACAGAGUAAGCACCGGCUAACUUCGUG